CCUACGGGAGGCAGCAGUGAGGAAUAUUGGUCAAUGGCCGGAAGGCUGAACCAGCCAUGCCGCGUGAAGGUCAGUGCUCUACGGGCGUUAAACUUCUUUUGUGCGGGAGCAAUAUUGGUCACGUGUGGCAUGACGAGAGUACCGUACGAAUAAGCAUCGGCUAACUCCGGGCCAGCAGCCGCGGUAAUACGGGGGAUGCAAGCGUUAUCCGGAUUUAUUGGGUUUAAAGGGUGCGUAGGCUGGGAGGUAAGUCAGCGGUGAAAUGCCCCCGCUCAACGGGGUGAAGUGCCAUUGAUACUGCCUAGCUGGAAUGCGGAUGCGGUGGGAGGAAUGUGUGGUGUAGCGGUGAAAUGCAUAGAUAUCACACAGAACACCGAUUGCGAAGGCAUCUCACGAAUCCGCGAUUGACGCUGAUGCACGAAAGCGUGGGUAUCAAACAGGAUUAGAUACCCGGGUAGUC
rnacentral:rRNA from 1 species